AGCGGCCAGAGUUCGUCGUGCGCGCAUCGUAGUUUCCUUAGUUUAUGUGUGUUUCUCAACUGUAUGAAAAUACGUUGAGCUACUCUACUUGUUUCCAAGUGACACGUAAAACGAUAUUAGAAACGAUUUACUUUUGAAUCUUACUUUAAACGAUAAAACUUCGAGAAAAGAAAAAGUGUCAAGUAAAGUGUCGUAGAAAAAAAAACAAAGGUAAUAAAAAAAAAAAAAAAGAAUUUAGAUUUGAUUUAUUCGUUGUAUCUCGUCCUCACGAAAUUUCAAUUUAAACGUUGAGAACGAACGGAAGUAAUAUACGAUUCGAAUGGGAACAAUAAUUUUCUCCAACAAACAACGAUCACGAAGCUUAAUUUACAUUAAGCCAAUUUAAAGCAAUUAAACAAACAAUAAUAAUAAUAAUAAUAACAACAAGGUUAUUACGUACGUUCCUUUGAUACGAGAUAUCAUUUUCGUUAUCUCUUGGAUUUUCGAUUGA
rnacentral:lncRNA from 1 species